rnacentral:lncRNA from 1 species
AAGUUUCAUUAAUAUGCGUAUCUCCAUACGACUCUUUUUCUGUUGUUUGAGUGUCAUUUGAGUUUGGGUUUUUUUAUAGGUUAACUAAAUUUUCUGAAAACAAAUGUCAACGCACAUUUAUCAUCACUAUUUUCCCUUUGCAGUUCAUUAACAAUGGAUACAUAUCCUGAUCCUGCCACUCUAGCGAAAGCAAUGGGUGCAAGAAAGAGUGUUGUGACAGUCUUGGUUGAGAAAAAAUGAACUGAUGGUAUUGUACUUGAUAGGUAUGGCUUCGAUUUUAUCAUCAAAUCAAGAGGUGGCAAAUCUC